rnacentral:rRNA from 1 species
GAUGAACGCUGGCGGCGUGCCUAAUACAUGCAAGUCGAGCGAACGGACGAGAAGCUUGCUUCUCUGAUGUUAGCGGCGGACGGGUGAGUAACACGUGUAUAACCUACCUAUAAGACUGGGAUAACUUCGGGAAACCUGAGCUAAUACCGGAUAAUAUUUUGAACCGCAUGGUUCAAAAGUGAAAGACGGUCUUGCUGUCACUUAUAGAUGGAUCCGCGCUGCAUUAGCUAGUUGGUAAGGUAACGGCUUACCAAGGCAACGAUGCAUAGCCGACCUGAGAGGGUGAUCGGCCACACUGGAACUGAGACACGGUCCAGACUCCUACGGGAGGCAGCAGUAGGGAAUCUUGCGCAAUGGGCGAAAGCCUGACGGAGCAACGCCGCGUGAGUGAUGAAGGUCUUCGGAUCGUAAAACUCUGUUAUUAGGGAAGAACAUAUGUGUAAGUAACUGUGCACAUCUUGACGGUACCUAAUCAGAAAGCCACGGCUAACUACGUG